rnacentral:rRNA from 1 species
GCUAAUCAUCUAGCCCUCAUUUUCUAAUUUAUACCUCUUAUUUUUUAUCAUUAACCAAAACAUUUUUUUAUCUUAGUAAAGGCGAUUAAAAAACUUUAUGGAGCAAUACACAUAGUACCGCAAGGGAAAGAUGAAAUAAAAAUGAAACAAUCUUAAGCACAAAAAAGUAGAGCUUAACCCUCGUACCUUUUGCAUCAUGAUUUAACUAGUCCAACCAAGCAAAAAGACUUUUAGUUUGAUCCCCCGAAACUAAGCGAGCUAUUUUAGGACAGCUUCCUGAGCUAAUCCGUCUCUGUUGCAAAAGAGUGGAAAGAUCUUAAAAUAGAGGUGACAGACCAAACGAGCCUAGUGAUAGCUGGUUGCUUAUGAAAAGGAUUUUAGUCCCGCUUAAAGGCCCCCUCAGUUUAUCAAAACCCAUCUUUAAAGUAAUUCAAAUAAGGUACAGCCUAUUUGAAAAAGGAUACAACCUUAAUCUCUGGGUAAUCAUUCUGAUUAAUGAAAUAGUAGGCUUAAAAGCAGCCAUCUAACAUAAAAGCGUCAAAGCUUAUUCACUUUCUUAUAAAAUACCUCAAUUUUCUUUGAACCCGUCAUUAUUAAAAAGCAGCUCUAUAUCCCUAUAGAAAAUUUUAUGUUAAAACUAGUAAUAAGAAGCCAGCACUUCUCCUCAGUGCAAAUAUACAUCAGCAAGGACACCCCACUGAUUUUUAACGUCCCUAACAAUCCAAUAGUAACCCAUCAAGAAAAAUCUAUUAUCACUUACGUUAACCUAACACAAGAGCACUCAAGGAAAGAUUAAAAGAAAAAGAAGGAACUCGGCAAAUUUUAGCCUCGCCUGUUUACCAAAAACAUCGCCUCCUGAAUUUCCUAUGGGAGGUCCAGCCUGCCCAGUGACAUUGUUCAACGGCCGCGGUAUCCUAACCGUGCGAAGGUAGCGUAAUCACUUGUUCUUUAAAUGAGGACUAGUAUGAACGGCUUCACGAAGGCUACACUGUCUCCUUUUUCUAAUCAAUGAAACUAAUCUCCUCGUGAAGAAGCGAGGAUAAACUUAUAAGACGAGAAGACCCUAUGGAGCUUUAAACAAUUGAGAUACCUGCCCACAAUCUUUCAAACUUCCGAAAAUACUUAUCUGAGCAUCCUAUCCAUAGUUUUAGGUUGGGGUGACCACGGAGCAUAAAACAACCUCCAUGCUGAAAGAAAUCUUAUCUUCUUAACAUAGAGUUACAACUCAAUGUAUCAAUAAAUUGACUUUCAUUGACCCAAUAUUUUGAUCAACGAACCAAGUUACCCUAGGGAUAACAGCGCAAUCUAUUUCAAGAGCUCAUAUCGACAAAUAGGUUUACGACCUCGAUGUUGGAUCAGGGUAUCCCAGUGGUGCAGCCGCUACUAACGGUUCGUUUGUUCAACGAUUAAAACCCUACGUGAUCUGAGUUCAGACCGGAGCAAUCCAGGUCAGUUUCUAUCUAUAAAGGGCUUUUUCUAGUACGAAAGGACCGAAAAAGCAUGGCCAAUGUUCCUAUAAGCCAUAAAUUUUUAACUUAUGCACCCACACUUAAUAAUUAAAAAUCUUCCACCCCCCUCAAGACAAGAGGCCCUGA